AAGUCGUAACAAGGUUUCCGUAGGUGAACCUGCGGAAGGAUCAUCACUGAUUCGUCCUUUUCUUACCCACACCUGUGGUAUCGAUCCAAGGCAUGCUGCCUGCUGGCCUGGGCCCGCCCAGGGACACCGGCUGGGCCGCGUGCCUAUCUUUCUUUCAUUAUUCACGCGGUCUUUACUCUUUCUUAAACCAAAACAAACAAAACACAACUUUUAACAACGGAUCUCUUGGUUCUC
rnacentral:misc_RNA from 1 species